UGACUUCUUUGCCUAUCCACAGUGUGU
rnacentral:piRNA from 1 species